rnacentral:rRNA from 1 species
AUUGAACGCUGGCGGCAGGCCUAACACAUGCAAGUCGAACGAGUGGCGGACGGGUGAGUACUGUCUGGGAAACUGCCUGAUGGAGGGGGAUAACUACUGGAAACGGUAGCUACUACCGCAUACCAUCAGAUGUGCCCAGAUGGGAUUAGCUUGUUGUUGGGGUAACGGCUCACCAAGGCGACGAUCCCUAGCUGUUCUGAGAGGAUGACCAGCAACACUGGAACUGAGACACGGUCAAGACUCCUACGGGAGGCAGCAGUGGGGAAUAUGGCACAAGGGGCGCAAGCCUGAUGCAGCAAUGCCGCGGGUAUGAAGAAGGCCGUCGGGUGGUAAAGUACUUUCAGCGGGGAGGCGUUACCCGCAGAAGAAGCACCGGCUAACUCCGUGCCAGCAGCCGCGGUAAUUC